rnacentral:lncRNA from 1 species
GAUAGAAAAAUAAAAUGAUCAUCUCUCAAAAUUGUACAGUGUGAGUGCGGCCAUUCUUCUCCAUCAAAUCCUCACACCAUUCCCAUCUCUCCUAUGCAUCUGUUAUUUGGAUUUGCAUUCUAACCCCCGAACUAUCAUCUUUGUAAAUACAUCCGAUCAAUAUGCCAUGGAUGUAGAUGAAGAAAAGAGGUAUUCAAGAGGAGGAAGGGAAGAAUAGGGACAAGAAGAUGAGAUUAAUAAUGAAGGGAAGGGAGAAAAGAACAUAUAAUGGUACAAUAUUUUCAGUCUAUUUGUUGCUAUCCAUCCUUGCAGCUAUCCAUUCUGUUAAUGGUCAUGUAGCAUCAUGCAACAUAUUCAAGUGCAGACGGAACCUAAAACCUCUCUCUUGCGAUAAAAACUGUAGAUUGUAAUGGACAUCAUUUUUAAUUGAAAAGAAAUGUAUAGAAAACCAAAUACCAAAUAAGAUGCAUUUGCAGAGCCCCAAAAUGAGUUGAUAAUUUCUAAUCUAUUAUAGGGUUGUACGAAAUUUUAAAAGAAACGAAUCCCUAGGCGACUUAUGCAAAGUGGACCACUUAGAUACAUGUUAAUGGUUAGCUCAAAUGUAGGGACCACCCAGGUUCCUAGGCCUCAAGCAGGGUUGCUUCAAGGCUUUGUAAGUCUAGGCUGUCUAGGUGGAUGAUAUAUAAAAAAAACAGUGGUAAUUU